CCGCCUACGGGGCGCAGCAGUGGGGGAUAUUGCACAAUGGGGGGAACCCUGAUGCAGCGACGCCGCGUGGGUGAAGAAGCGCCUCGGCGCGUAAAGCCCUGUCAGCAGGGAAGAAAAUGACGGUACCUGAAGAAGAAGCCCCGGCUAACUACGUGCCAGCAGCCGCGGUAAUACGUAGGGGGCAAGCGUUAUCCGGAUUUACUGGGUGUAAAGGGGGCGCAGACGGCGAUGCAAGCCAGGAGUGAAAGCCCGGGGCCCAACCCCGGGACUGCUCUUGGAACUGUUGAACUAGAUUGCCGGAGAGG
rnacentral:rRNA from 1 species